UAGGGAAUCUUCGGCAAUGGACGAAAGUCUGACCGAGCAACGCCGCGUGAGUGAAGAAGGUUUUCGGAUCGUAAAACUCUGUUGGUAGAGAAGAACGUUGGUGAGAGUGGAAAGCUCAUCAAGUGACGGUAACUACCCAGAAAGAGACGGCUAACUACGUGCCAG
rnacentral:rRNA from 1 species